AUUGAACGCUGGCGGAAUGCUUUACACAUGCAAGUCGAACGGUAGAGGGGGCAACCCUUGAGAGUGGCGAACGGGUGAGUAAUAUAUCGGAACGUGCCCAGUCGUGGGGGAUAACGUAGCGAAAGUUACGCUAAUACCGCAUACGAUCUAAGGAUGAAAGCGGGGGAUCGCAAGACCUCGCGCGAUUGGAGCGGCCGAUAUCAGAUUAGGUAGUUGGUGAGGUAAAGGCUCACCAAGCCAACGAUCUGUAGCUGGUCUGAGAGGACGACCAGCCACACUGGAACUGAGACACGGUCCAGACUCCUACGGGAGGCAGCAGUGGGGAAUUUUGGACAAUGGACGCAAGUCUGAUCCAGCCAUUCCGCGUGCAGGAUGAAGGCCCUCGGGUUGUAAACUGCUUUUGUACGGAACGAAAAGGUUUCUAUUAAUACUAGGAGCUCAUGACGGUACCGUAAGAAUAAGCACCGGCUAACUACGUG
rnacentral:rRNA from 1 species